rnacentral:rRNA from 1 species
GACGAACGCUGGCGGCGUGCCUAAUACAUGCAAGUCGAACGCAGUGGGGACGGGUGAGUAACACGUGGGUAACCUCCCAUCAGAGGGGAUAACACUUGGAAACAGGUGCUAAACCGAUACUGAUGGAUGGUCCCGCGGUGCAUUAGCUAGUUGGUGAGGUAAAGGCUCACCAAGGCCACGAUGCAUAGCCGACCUGAGAGGGGUGUCGGCCAAACGGGAACUAGGACACGGCCCAGACCACUACGGGGGGAGGCAGUGGGGAAUCUUCGACAAGGGAGGAAAGUCUGACCGGGCAACGCCGCGUGGUUGAAGAAGGUUUUCGAACCGUAAACCUCUUUGGUUAAAGAAACGGUAACUAACCAGAAAGCCACGGCUAACUACGUGCCAGCAGCCGCGGUAAUAC